GACGAACGCUGGCGGCGUGCCUAAUACAUGCAAGUCGAACGCAGUGGGGACGGGUGAGUAACACGUGGGUAACCUCCCAUCAGAGGGGAUAACACUUGGAAACAGGUGCUAAACCGAUACUGAUGGAUGGACCCGCGGUGCAUUAGCUAGUUGGUGAGGUAACGGCUCACCAAGGCCACGAGGCAUAGCCGACCUGAGAGGGUAAGCGGCGAAACUGGGACUGAGACAUGGCCCAGACUCCUACGGGAGGCAGCAGUAGGGAACCUUCGGCAAUGGACGAAAGGGUGAACGAUGAACGCCGCGUGAGUGAAGAAGGUUUUCGGAUCGUAAAACUCUGUUGUUAGAGAAGCGGUAUCUAACCAGAAAGCCACGGCUAACUACGUGCCAGCAGCCGCGGUAAUAC
rnacentral:rRNA from 1 species